UCUCCGACUCCUUCAUCUUCUUCAGUGUCCUUCAUUCUUGUCCCUCGUCUUCUACGCUAUAUGAGUGGAUCACUGCAGCUGGAACGGAAAAAAGAGAGGAAGGACUUGCACAAACAUUCUUCCUUUUGCCAUCAUCACUGCAAAAGUUUGAUUAGAUUGUUGGCUUUAAUUUUUCUGGUCUGUCAAAAAAUUCUGGUGCAAGUGGAGCUUAUUUUGAUGCUUCUAUGGGAGAUU